rnacentral:rRNA from 1 species
ACGGGAGGCAGCAGUGAGGAAUAUUGGUCAAUGGGCGAGAGCCUGAACCAGCCAAGUCGCGUGAGGGAAGACGGCCCUAUGGGUUGUAAACCUCUUUUGUGCGGGAAUAAAGAGCCCCAUGCGUGGGGUGUUGCAUGUACCGCGCGAAUAAGGAUCGGCUAACUCCGUGCCAGCAGCCGCGGUAAUACGGAGGAUCCGAGUGUUAUCCGGAUUUAUUGGGUUUAAAGGGUGCGUAGGCGGGAUGUCAAGUCAGUGGUGAAAUGGUGCGGCUCAACCGUAGCAUUGCCGUUGAAACUGGCGUACUUGAGUGCGAAUGAGGUGGGCGGAAUGUGUCAUGUAGCGGUGAAAUGCAUAGAUAUGACACAGAACACCGAUUGCGAAGGCAGCUCACUGGGACGCAACUGACGCUGAGGCACGAAAGUGUGGGGAUCGAACAGGAUUAGAUACCCUGGUA